AGAGUUUGAUCAUGGCUCAGGAUGAACGCUGGCGGCGUGCCUAAUACAUGCAAGUCGAACGAAACGACUUUAGAAAGCUUGCUUUCUUAAGAAGUUUAGUGGCGAACGGGUGAGUAAUACAUAAGUAACCUGCCUUAGUGCCUGGGAUAACAGAAGGAAACUUCUGCUAAUACCGGAUAUAUGAGAAGAAGGCAUCUUCUUCUCAAGAAAGAUGGACUACAUCACACUUAGAUGGACUUAUGGCGCAUUAGUUAGUUGGUGAGGUAGUGGCUCACCAAGACGAUGAUGCGUAGCCGACCUGAGAGGGUGACCGGCCACACUGGGACUGAGACACGGCCCAGACUCCUACGGGAGGCAGCA
rnacentral:rRNA from 1 species